AUGCCCAAUCCCAAGGUCUUCCCUCAGCUGGUGAAGCACAUGAGCCGGUGUCAAGCAAUAUCCCCUGUAUACUUUGUCCUUGUGUUCUUUCCAAGUAUGAAUCCAUAUCAGCUGCAUCACGGAGCUCCAUGCACAGUGAUGCAAAGCAUCCAGGAUGUGAUCAAUCAUAUGUUGGAGAAUGGCAUUGAGACCUUACUUCACUGGAUAAUGGCAUUUAUAUGCGAUUCCAGUCCUUUCACAGUGCAGUAUUCUCAGGAUAUAUCUGAUUAUGAUGAUGUUCCGUACUGCUCUGGAGCCGACAACUUUUUGGACUGCUCGAUGUUUAUAACCAAUGAGACUACUUUUUUGGUUGUUGGCUGGAGCUAUCACUAUGACUGA
rnacentral:rRNA from 1 species